rnacentral:rRNA from 1 species
UACGUAGGUGGCAAGCGUUAUCCGGAAUUAUUGGGCGUAAAGAGUGAGCAGGCGGCUGUUUAAGUCUGAAGUCAAAUCUAGGGGCUCAACCCCUAAUCGCUUUGGAAACUGGACAGCUAGAGUACGAGAGAGGUAUGUGGAAUUCCAUGUGUAGCGGUGAAAUGCGUAGAUAUAUGGAGGAACACCAGUGGCGAAGGCGGCAUACUAGCUCGAUACUGACGCUCAUUCACGAAAGCGUGGGUAGCAAAUAGGAUUAGAUACCCUAGUAGUCCACGCCGUAAACUAUGAGAACUAAGUGUUGGAGAAAUCCAGUGCUGAAGCUAACGCAUUAAGUUCUCCGCCUGGGGAGUACGCUCGCAAGAGUGAA